rnacentral:rRNA from 1 species
AGUGAACGCUGGCGGUAGGCCUAACACAUGCGAGUCGAACGGCAGCACAGUAAGAGCUUGCUCUUACGGGUGGCGAGUGGCGGACGGGUGAGGAAUACAUCGGAAUCUACUUUUUCGUGGGGGAUAACGUAGGGAAACUUACGCUAAUACCGCAUACGACCUACGGGUGAAAGCAGGGGAUCUUCGGACCUUGCGCGAUUGAAUUAGCCGAUGUCGGAUUAGCUAGUUGGCGGGGUAAAGGCCCACCAAGGCGACGAUCCGUAGCUGGCCUGAGAGGAUGAUCAGCCACACUGGAACUGAGACACGGUCCAGACUCCUACGGGAGGCAGCAGUGGGGAAUAUUGGACAAUGGGCGCAAGCCUGAUCCAGCCAUACCGCGUGGGUGAAGAAGGCCUUCGGGUUGUAAAGCCCUUUUGUUGGGAAAGAAAAGCAGCAGGUUAAUACCCCGCUGUUCUGACGGUACCCAAAGAAUAAGCACCGGCUAACUUCGUG